GGUCCCCAGCUCCGAAGAAAAGAAAAAAAAAAGAAAAAAAAUAAAAAUAAAAAUAAACAAAACAAAAACAGGUUUCAUAAGACUGUAUCAAUUGUGUUGUCCUCUAUACAAAGCUUAAAAUAAUAAAAUAAUACCAUAUACCAUUGAUAUAUGCCAAUAUUGUAUGAUUUUUUUGGAGAUAUGUUUCAAAGUUUUUAGUACUCAUCCUUUUUUUUUUUAAUAAAACAUACAGUUGUUUGAAAAGAAACAAAUACCAGCAAAUAAAUGAGUCCAGCUGUCAUGAGGCCAGAAUUCGGAAUAUGGACUUGAACCAACAGUGCAUGUUAAAAAAAUCACAAUUCUUAAAAAGACAAAGACAUAUAUAUAUAUAUUACAUAUAAUAUACAUAUAAUAUACAUGUAUACACAUAUAUAUGUAUACACACAUGCAUACACAUGUGUGUAUCUGUGUGUCUGUAUGAAUGCCCUGGUAUUCACAUAUUAAAAACAGAGGACAUUGAGGAUAACUUUUCUACUUGUACCAUCUGGGUUCUGCAGAUCUAACUCAGGUUGUUAGGUGGGUAGCAAGAACCAUAACCUGCUGAACUUUCUUAGUGGUCAAGUCUUAUUGCCCUCUUCUUUUUAAUGUUAAGUUAAAUUUAUUUUAACUGAUACAUGAAACAUAAAAAAUUAUACAUUCUAAUGGAGUGCAUAUGCUGUUUUGUAGGGAGGGUGCAGGAUAUGGUUUGAGAGGGAUGCAGAGUGCUUUCCGUUGUAUAUGGAACAUCCCUGUUGCUUAAGACACACGAAUAUGGGAGUCGCCUACGUCUUUGCCUCACUUCAUGGAAGAAGUCUAGUCCCAGAGGCAAAGCUCACCAGCUGACCAACAGUGGUUCAACUUCCCUGGGAGUUCCUGAGAAAGAAAGGGCCUCUGGCCCAACGUAAGACCUCUGGCUGCCAGGUAUGCAUUUCCCAUGUGUGCUAACACUUCUGGAUGCCCUUCAGAUCAACCGAUCACUCUAAUUAGGCUCAUAGGAGUGUUUUUGUUUAUUUUGAGUUUUUUUUUUCCUUUAAAAAUGUCCUGAGACAAUGACAUUGAGUAUUUAAGUUCUUAGCAUCAGGUAUUGGAAAAAGAAGGAAGAAUGGACUCUUCCUAGUAUCUGAAAUGACAGUAACCCAUUGAUACCUCGCUUUGUUUCUCUUCCUCAUGGAGGGCAUCCAGGUAUCGAGACAAGUUGCCUCAGGAAAAACACUUGAGGUAAGUGUACUUUGUGGUCCUUCUGCAUAUUCACACAAUGGGUACACUUUCAAGUUCUCUCACCUACACACACACACACACACACACACACACACACACACACACACACACUCCAAGGGUACAAUCACUUAAUACCCCCAACAAUAAUUACCAUAAAAUGCUCAAAAAAAUGAAAUUAUUAUGCCUUCAUUGAGUUUGCUUUACCAUGAACUGUUAAGGGAAUUAGUACUUUUUUGUGUGUUAUUAGAGUAAAGCAUUUUUAACUCAUUUUUGGGAUGUGCAUUGAUGUGUAUGCAUGUAUGUGUGAACAUCAUGUGUCAUGAGCUGAUCACCUUGUUUUAGGAGACAGGAUUUCUCACUGAGACCUGGGGAUCACAAGAGAACCCCUAGUCUCUCCCCAGAGCUAGGAUUACAAACACGUGCCACCAUUCCUGACUUUUUAUGUGGGUCCUGGGAUCAAACUCACAUCUUUGUGGGCUAGGAUACCUCUUUUUCAUUUUUUGACAUGUACAGGACAGUAUACCGCAGGACACUGCUACGCAACAGAUCUCCAGAAUGUCUUUUAUCUUGCGUGACUGAAACCUCAUCCCCAGUGAACUGGUAACUCAUCAGCAGCCCCUGGCCAUUGCCAUUCAACUUUCUGAUUAUGAAUUUGAUAACUUUUUAAAUACCUCAUCAUAAGUGUAAACAUGCAGUAUCUGUGUUCUGUGAUUGGCUCUUUUCACGUUGCACAAUGCCCUGUAGCAUGAUAGAGUCCAGUCUUCCCUCCCCUUCCAAAUUGAGUAGUAGUCCAUUGCAUAAACUCAUGCGCCGCUGACAGGUUACUCCCACACUUAGCUACUGUGAAUAAUGAAGCAAUAAACACAUCUAUCAUAUACUCCUCAAGACUCUUCUAUUGUAUAAGUAUGGUUGAUAAUCAGAAGUGGGAUAGCUAACUCAUAUGGUAAUUUUUCUUUUCUUUUCUUUUGAGUCGUCUACAGGAGUUUCUACAGAUCCAGUGUCUGCACUGAAAACUACUCCAACAGCACAUCUGGCCCCAAGCUCUCUCUCCACAGCCUUGCCCUUCUGCGCCAUUUUUCUCCAGGGGCCACACUAUUAAGUACACUAUUAGCUGACGGCUCCUACGGUUUUAGCUUUCAUUCCCCUGAUUAUCAGUGACGGUGAGCAUCUCUCUGGAGUCUUACUGACAAUUCAUUUAUUUUCGUCAUAGAAAGUUCUGUUCAAACCUUUCUCCAUUAAAAAAAAAGACAUUUCUGUUAUCGAGUUCUUUGAACAUUACAGCUACAUGGUUUGUAAAUGUUUUUCCCCCAUUCUAUAGACGGUCUUUGACUCUGCUUCUGUUGACUGCUUUGCUAUAACAUUUUUGAUUAAUUUCAAUCAGUAAACUAUCUAUCCACUUUAGUUCUUUA
rnacentral:sRNA from 1 species